UUAACAGGAAGCUGAAUCGUAUGAUGAUUUUGAUGAUGACCCUGUAAAUGUUGAAGGCGCUAACUAGGCUCAUGCAAGUUCAUUGAGUGCAAGUAAAGUUUCCCAAGUUGUUGCUGCUAAUCGACAUAAGUCAAAGAGAACAUGACCUUGAAACUUAAUGGCGGCGGCAAACAUGAACUGCAUGAGAGAACAUUAGUAUUGAAGGAUUGAAGAACGCGUGCUCUACUUGAAGAUUUUAUAAUAGGACAGGGUUAUACCAGUGGUUGCUUUGAAUAUAGCUAUUUGUUCAGAUUCCAUGGCUCAUGGAAAUAAAAGAUCAAGGCUUUUGAGUAGCAGAUGAUUAGAUACUUAAAGCCAUGAAGGUUUAGCUUGUCACCAUCAAACACUAGAGAAAAACCACCAGUUUGAUAGUUGGCAAGCAAUAUGCUUGCAAGACCCUGAACCAACCACCACAACUAAGCAAUAUGCAUGCAACUCCAUUUGAGCUCUCAUUCUGCCUUCAGUUUGAUAGUUGGUUGUGAUUGAAGAUAUUGGGAAUUAGAUUAAGCAACUAUAAACCUACAAGGUGCAGU